rnacentral:rRNA from 1 species
GACGAACGCUGGCGGCGUGCUUAACACAUGCAAGUCGAACGGAAAGGCCCUGCUUUUGUGGGGUGCUCGAGUGGCGAACGGGUGAGUAACACGUGAGUAACCUGCCCUUGACUUUGGGAUAACUUCAGGAAACUGGGGCUAAUACCGGAUAGGAGCUCCUGCUGCAUGGUGGGGGUUGGAAAGUUUCGGCGGUUGGGGAUGGACUCGCGGCUUAUCAGCUUGUUGGUGGGGUAGUGGCUUACCAAGGCUUUGACGGGUAGCCGGCCUGAGAGGGUGACCGGCCACAUUGGGACUGAGAUACGGCCCAGACUCCUACGGGAGGCAGCAGUGGGGAAUAUUGCACAAUGGGCGGAAGCCUGAUGCAGCAACGCCGCGUGCGGGAUGACGGCCUUCGGGUGGUAAACCGCUUUCGCCUGUGACGAAGCGUGAGGGACGGUAAUGGGUAAAGAAGCACCGGCUAACUACGG